GUUGGGCCUCGGCUCAGGAUGACGCUGGCGGCGUGCCUAACACAUGCAAGUCGAGCGAGAAACCUGCAGAUGACACUUCGGUAGAUUCAGCAGGCGGAAAGCGGCGGACGGGUGAGUAACGCGUAGGCAACCUGCCCUUCACACAGGGAUAGCCUCGGGAAACCGGGAUUAAAACCUGAUGAUGCAUAACCAUUGCAUAAUGGAUAUGCCAAAGAUUCAUCGGUGAAGGAUGGGCCUGCGUCUGAUUAGUUAGUUGGUGGGGCAACGGCUCACCAAGGCGACGAUCAGUAGCCGACCUGAGAGGGUGAUCGGCCACAUUGGAACUGAGACACGGUCCAGACUCCUACGGGAGGCAGCAGUGGGGAAUAUUGCACAAUGGGGGAAACCCUGAUGCAGCAACGCCGCGUGAAGGAUGAAGGCCCUUGGGUCGUAAACUUCUGUCCUUAGGGAAGAAGCAAGUGACGGUACCUUUGGAGGAAGCCCCGGCUAACUACGUGCCAGCAGCCGCGGUAAUACGUAUGGGGCAAGCGUUAUCCGGAAUUAUUGGGCGUAAAGCGUGCGUUAGGUGGUUUUUUAAGCGCGGGGUUUAAGGCUACGGGCUCAACUGUAGUUCGCCCCGUGAACUGGGGAGACUUUGAGUUACAGGAGAGGAAAGCGGGAAUUCCCUAGUGUACCCGGUGGAAAUGGCUUAGAUAUUUAG
rnacentral:rRNA from 1 species